UACGUAGGUGACAAGCGUUGUCCGGAUUUACUGGGCGUAAAGAGCGCGCAGGCGGUCGUUCAAGUCGAGUGUGAAAGCCCCCGGCUCAACUGGGGAGGGUCACGCGAUACUGGUCGACUCGAAGGCAGGAGAGGGUAGUGGAAUUCUCGGUGUAGCGGUGAAAUGCGUAGAUAUCGAGGAGGAACACCUGCGGCGAAGGCGGGUUGCUGGGCUGAUACUGACGCUGAGGCGCGAAAAGCCAGGGGAGCGAACGGG
rnacentral:rRNA from 1 species